rnacentral:rRNA from 1 species
GCAUAUCAAUAAGCGGAGGAAAAGAAAAUAACCAUGAUUCCCUUAGUAACGGCGAGUGAAGUGGGAAGUGCUCAAAUUUAAAAUCCCUUUUGGGAAUUGUAAUUUAUAGAAUAAAUGGUUAGUAAGUGGAGAUUAAAGUCUGCUGGAAAGCAUGCGCUAGAAAGGGUGAUAGCCCCGUUCAGUCUCUUAACUUGCUUCUAUGCCAUUAUUUCAACGAGUCAGGUUGCUUGGGAAUGCAGCCUAAAUUUGGUGGUAAACUCCAUCUAAAGCUAAAUAUUGAUCAGUGACCGAUAGCAAACAAGUACCGUGAGGGAAAGAUGAAAAGAACCUUGAAAAGGGGGUUAAAAGUACGUGAAAUUGUUAUUAGGAAAGCACUUAGUCUCAUUGUGGAUUAGAUCAGUCUGUUUCGGCAGAUACUGUCCUAAUUAGUUAUGAUCAGUUAGCGUUGAUAAAGAAAAUUUGUGACAAGGUAUUAGUGUAGUGCUAAACUUAAAGGUCAUUUAUUAUUUGUCGAUACUGACUGAGGAAUGCUACUUAAUCUUUUUGAGUAAAUAGUUUGUGGAGUUAGGUUAAACAACAUGUUGAUUAGCUUAAUUAAAGCGAUCUAUUUGCUUUAAAACUUAAGUACAGGAUCAUAAUUAAAUGAUACUAAAUGACCCGUCUUGAAACACGGACC